rnacentral:rRNA from 1 species
CACGUAGUUAGCCGUGACUUCCUCGCCGGGUACCAUCACUCAGAAAGCUUUCCACUCUUUCUGCCUUUUGUCCCCGGCAACAGAGCUUUACGAUCCGAAGGCCUUCCUCGCUCACGCGGCAUUGCUCGUUCAGGGUUCCCCCCAUUGACGAAAAUUCCCUACUGCUGCCUCCCGCAGGAGUCUGGGCCGUGUCUCAGUCCCAGUGUGGCCGUCCGCCCUCUCAGGCCGGCUAUGCAUCGUCGCCUUGGUGAGCCGUUACCUCUCCAACCAGCUAAUGCACCGCAGGUCCAUCUGCAUGCGGGACUCUUGUCCCCUUUUCCAAAAAGAAGAUGCCUCCUCUUUGCUCAUCCGGUAUCAGCUUCCGUUUCCAGAAGUUCUCCCGCUCAUGCAGGCAGGUUCCCUAGUGUUACUCACCCGUUCGCCACUCAUACUCCGAAAGAUAUCCCGUUCGACUUGCAUGUAUUAGGCUAUGCCGUCAGCGUUCAUCCGUGACGCCAA